GGGGCGGUCUCUGAGAACUUAAAGCAGCAACCUGCUUCCAGUCUCUCUCUGCUUUUUGCCUGAGGUUCAAGUCAUGAGCCUGAACCUCCAGCACCAGGUUCGAUGUCUGCCACGUGCUAUUUCCACUCCACCAUCGCCAUCCAGGCCUCUAACCCUCUGGACCCAUACAUAGCCCAACAGUGUCUCUGUUCAGCCAGAAGGUGCUGCUAAAGUACAGUGAGCCACAGAGGACAAACUAAUGCAGAAGUAACGGGCGCCAAGAGGGAUAAAGAUGUCAACUGUGCCCAUAUGAGAAUCCAAGCACAAAGAUAUCCAUUAUGAGUGGAGAAGAGGGCUUCACUGUAGCGCGUACCCUCUAUAAAUAUUCCAGCCAAAUGUAAACAUAGAGUACUGCCUUGUGAUGUUUGCGGCUGCGUAAACAGCAGCCUGGCUUUUCUUCUCAUUAACGCCCCUUUCUCGAGACAGGGGCUUCUAUACCGUGAAUCUGGGGCAACGUAGUAUGAUCCGUAGCUCCCCCCCCCCCAACAGGGUGUAGCGUACAUGGAAUAAAAACGAGAACUUAAAAUCA
rnacentral:lncRNA from 1 species